AUAAGCACAGAGAAGACUUCGUACUGAACCUGCCAAGUACACAACCAAGCAAGUUCCUUAACCGUUAAAAAGACAAAUAUAGCACCUGGUGGUCAGACAGAAACUUAUCUGCCAGUCAAUUCUCUAGGAAGAAGACAUCCUGUUUUAACUGUGAAAAUGAUUUGGAUCUACAUGAUCAUCACAUCUCUGGCAACGACAGCUCUGGCAAAAGCAGUGCGAUGGAGAGGGAACCUGACAACAAGGCUGCAAUGACUACCUUCAAAAUAGUCCGCCCUCUUCAUCGGACCAACGUGAACUCUUUGCCGCUGCCAUCAUUGUUGUUGUGAUGAAGGGAUGGUUAUGUUACGUUCCGCACAUCAUGUUAACAGCGCUUGUGCACAUGUGUGACCAAUCGUUCCGUGAUGAAGUCCACCUCUUCAGACUGUGCCAUGCCUGGGAAGCGCGGCGUAACCCAACCAUAGAACACUUGUACUCACACUAGACAGAGAUUCUGGAUUUUAGAGGGAAAGCACUGCAUGGUUGUCUCGUGUGAGUGCGCCUUAAAUGUUGCCUGCGUGGGUUUUCUCCAGGUUCUCUAGCUUUUUCCAGAGUCUGAAGACAUGCUUGUUGGUACAGAUGGGAUUUAUGACUCUUUGAAGUGAGCUGGAUUGUAUUCCGGACCUUGUUCCUUUCAGACAGUCAAUCAACAGGCUGGCUCAAUUUGACGUUUACUUAUUCUUAAGAUGCCAGCCUGGGGGCAAAUUAUUUUAUCUUCAAAAUAAGCACUGCAAUAGAGUAAGAUACAAAAUACAAUAGACAUUUUCUUGGAGGGAUAUCUGAGUCCAUAUACACUAUAUCUAAAGUAUACAUUCUAGACAGACAGAUGCUAUGCAUGCCAGG